rnacentral:rRNA from 1 species
AAAAUGACUCUCGGCAAUGGAUAUCUCGGCUCUCGCAUCGAUGAAGAGCGCAGCGAAAUGCGAUACGUGGUGCGAAUUGCAGAAUCCCGUGAACCAUCGAGUCUUUGAACGCAAGUUGCGCCCGAGGCCAACCGGCCAAGGGCAUGUCUGCCUGGGCGUCAAGC